UACGUAGGGUGCAAGCGUUGUCCGGAAUUAUUGGGCGUAAAGAGCUUGUAGGCGGUUUGUCGCGUCUGCUGUGAAAUUUCGGGGCUCAACCCCGAACUUGCAGUGGGUACGGGCAGACUAGAGUGUGGUAGGGGGAGACUGGAAUUCCUGGUGUAGCGGUGAAAUGCGCAGGAUAUCAGGAGGAACACCGAUGGCGAAGGCGGGUCUCUGGACAGUUCCUGACGCUGAGCACGAAGGCCAGGGGAGCAAACGGG
rnacentral:rRNA from 1 species